AACGAACGCUGGCGGCAUGCCUAACACAUGCAAGUCGAACGAGACCUUCGGGUCUAGUGGCGCACGGGUGCGUAACGCGUGGGAACCUGCCCUUAGGUUCGGAAUAACUCCCCGAAAGGGGUGCUAAUACCGGAUAAUGUCUUCGGACCAAAGAUUUAUCGCCUUUGGAUGGGCCCGCGUUGGAUUAGCUAGUUGGUAGGGUAAAAGCCUACCAAGGCGACGAUCCAUAGCUGGUCUGAGAGGAUGAUCAGCCACACUGGGACUGAGACACGGCCCAGACUCCUACGGGAGGCAGCAGUGGGGAAUAUUGGACCAUGGGCGAAAGCCUGAUCCAGCAGUGCCGCGUGAGUGAUGAAGGCCUUAGGGUUGUAAAGCUCUUUUACCCGGGAUGAUAAUGACAGUACCGGGAGAAUAAGCUCCGGCUAACUCCG
rnacentral:rRNA from 1 species